GAUGAACGCUGGCGGCGUGCUUAACACAUGCAAGUCGAACGAAGCAUUUAGGACAGAUUACUUCGGUUUGAAGUUCUUUAUGACUGAGUGGCGGACGGGUGAGUAACGCGUGGGUAACCUGCCUUGUACUAGGGGAUAGCAGCUGGAAACGGCUGGUAAUACCGCAUAAGCGCACAAUGUUGCAUGACAUGGUGUGAAAAACUCCGGUGGUAUAAGAUGGACCCGCGUCUGAUUAGCUAGUUGGUGAGAUAACAGCCCACCAAGGCGACGAUCAGUAGCCGACCUGAGAGGGUGACCGGCCACAUUGGGACUGAGACACGGCCCAGACUCCUACGGGAGUCAGCAGUGGGGAAUAUUGCACAAUGGAGGAAACUCUGAUGCAGCGACGCCGCGUGAGUGAAGAAGUAAUUCGUUAUGUAAAGCUCUAUCAGCAGGGAAGAUAGUGACGGUACCUGACUAAGAAGCUCCGGCUAAAUACGUG
rnacentral:rRNA from 1 species